UUAACUAUUAUAUAGUACUCAGACAUCACUAAAAACAGAGUUUGUUUCCUCUGGCAGGCGCACCGAGGCCGAAGCCCCGGGGGUUGCCCCGGCCUGCCAAAGCAACUAAGGUAUAAUAUUCAAGGGUGGGAGAUCUACCCGUGAGGGCAUGAACUCUGUAAUGAUCCUUCCGCAGGUUCACCUACGGAAA
rnacentral:misc_RNA from 1 species